CGAACGGGUGAGUAACACGUGAGUAACCUGCCCUUAACUCUGGGAUAAGCCUGGGAAACUGGGUCUAAUACCGGAUAUGACUCCUCAUCGCAUGGUGGGGGGUGGAAAGCUUUAUUGUGGUUUUGGAUGGACUCGCGGCCUAUCAGCUUGUUGGUGAGGUAAUGGCUUACCAAGGCGACGACGGGUAGCCGGCCUGAGAGGGUGACCGGCCACACUGGGACUGAGACACGGCCCAAACUCCUACGGGAGGCAGCAGUGGGGAAUAUUGCACAAUGGGCGCAAGCCUGAUGCAGCGACGCCGCGUGAGGGAUGACGGCCUUCGGGUUGUAAACCUCUUUCAGUAGGGAAGAAGCGAAAGUGACGGUACCUGCAAAAGAAGCGCCGGCUAACUACGUGCCACCAGCCGCGGUAAUACGUAGGGCGCAAGCGUUAUCCGGAAUUAUUGGGCGUAAAGAGCUCGUAGGCGGUUUGUCGCGUCUGCCGUGAAAGUCCGGGGCUCAACUCCGGAUCUGCGGUGGGUACGGGCAGACUAGAGUGAUGUAGGGGAGACUGGAAUUCCUGGUGUAGCGGUGAAAUGCGCAAAUAUCAGGAGGAACACCGAUGGCGAAGGCAGGUCUCUGGGCAUUAACUGACGCUGAGGAGCGAAAGCAUGGGGAGCGAACAGGAUUAGAUACCCUGGUAGUCCAUGCCGUAAACGUUGGGCACUAGGUGUGGGGGACAUUCCACGUUUUCCGCGC
rnacentral:rRNA from 1 species